rnacentral:rRNA from 1 species
CCUACGGGAGGCAGCAGUGGGGAAUAUUGCACAAUGGGCGAAAGCCUGAUGCAGCAACGCCGCGUGAGCGAAGAAGGCCUUCGGGAUGUAAAGCUCUAUCAGCAGGGAAGAAAAUGACGGUACCUGAGUAAGAAGCCCCGGCUAACUACGUGCCAGCAGCCGCGGUAAUACGUAGGGGGCAAGCGUUAUCCGGAAUUACUGGGCGAAAAGGGGCCGUAGGUGGUUUCAAAAGUCAGAGGGAAAAGGCUAGGGCUAAACCCCGGAAUGCCUUUGAAACUGGGGAACCUGAGUGCAGGAGAGGUGAGUGGAAUUCCUAGUGUAGCGGUGAAAUGCGUAGAUAUUAGGAGGAACACCAGUUGCGAAGGCGGCUUACUGGACUGUAACUGACGCUGAGGCUCGAAAGCGUGGGGAGCAAACAGGAUUAGAUACCCGGGUAGUC